AAACACAGUUGAGGUCUUGCCUUAUAAGGCAAAAGUAGUCUAGUGGCUCUUCAUAAAACCCACAGAGGAGACUGGACACCUCCUCUUUGGAUCCUGUCUGGAGUCUAGUU